rnacentral:tRNA from 1 species
GGGAGCGCGUGGGUCCCGGUGGGCCCCCUGGUCUUCAAAACCUGUGGCGCGGCGCCCAGCGCUGCGCGGUGGGUUCGACUCCCAUUCGCUCCCGCCA